UACGAAGGGGGCUAGCGUUGCUCGGAAUCACUGGGCGUAAAGGGUGCGUAGGCGGGUCUUUAAGGGAGGGGUGAAAUCCUGGAGCUCAACUCCAGAACUGCCUUUGAUACUGAAGAUCUUGAGUUCGGGAGAGGUGAGUGGAACUGCGAGUGUAGAGGUGAAAUUCGUAGAUAUUCGCAAGAACACCAGUGGCGAAGGCGGCUCACUGGCCCGAUACUGACGCUGAGGUACGAAAGCGUGGGGAGCAAACAGG
rnacentral:rRNA from 1 species